GACGAACGCUGGCGGCGUGCUUAACACAUGCAAGUCGAACGGUAAGGCCCUUCGGGGUACACGAGUGGCGAACGGGUGAGCAACACGUGGGUGAUCUGCCCUGCACUUCGGGAUAAGCCUGGGAAGCUGGGUCUAAUACCGGAUAGGACUCCUGCCUGCAUGGGUGGGGGUGGAAAGCUUUUGUGGUGUGGGAUGGGCCCGCGGCCUAUCAGCUUGUGGGUGGGGUGAUGGCCUACCAAGGCGACGACGGGUAGCCGGCCUGAGAGGGUGACCGGCCACACUGGGAAUGAGAUACGGCCCAGACUCCUACGGGAGGCAGCAGUGGGGAAUAUUGCACAAUGGGCGCAAGCCUGAUGCAGCGACGCCGCGUGAGGGACGACGGCCUUCGGGUUGUAAACCUCUUUCAGCACAGACGAAGCGCAAGUGACGGUAUGUGCAGAAGAAGGACCGGCCAACUACGUGCCAGCCGCCGCGGUAAUAC
rnacentral:rRNA from 1 species